GGAUGUGAGGGCGAUCUGGCUGCGACAUCUGUCACCCCAUUGAUCGCCAGGGUUGAUUCGGCUGAUCUGGCCGACUAGGCGGGUGUCCCCUUCCUCCCUCACCGCUCCAUGUGCGCCCCUCCUGAAGCUGCGCGCUCGGUCGAAGAGGAUGACCAUCCCCGAUAGAGGAGGACCGUUCUUCGGUCAAGGGUACACGAGUAGCUGCGCUCCCCUGCUAGAACCUCCAAACAAGUUCUCAAGGUCCAAGGAUGGAGAGGUGAAGUGUGACAAGACUACAGUCGAGCUGUGCAGGGUAAUGGGAGAGACAGAGGAGAACAUGGUGCUCUCACUG
rnacentral:snRNA from 1 species